rnacentral:rRNA from 1 species
UGGGGAAUAUUGGACAAUGGGCGAAAGCCUGAUCCAGCCAUGCCGCGUGUGUGAAGAAGGUCUUCGGAUUGUAAAGCACUUUAAGUUGGGAGGAAGGGCAGUAAGCGAAUACCUUGCUGUUUUGACGUUACCGACAGAAUAAGCACCGGCUAACUCUGUGCCAGCAGCCGCGGUAAUACAGAGGGUGCAAGCGUUAAUCGGAAUUACUGGGCGUAAAGCGCGCGUAGGUGGUUCGUUAAGUUGAAUGUGAAAGCCCCGGGCUCAACCUGGGAACUGCAUCCAAAACUGGCGAGCUAGAGUAGGGCAGAGGGUGGUGGAAUUUCCUGUGUAGCGGAGAAAUGCGUAGAUAUAUGAAGGAACACCAGUGGCGAAGGCGACCACCUGGGCUCAUACUGACACUGAGGUGCGAAAGCGUGGGGAGCAAACAGG